GCUCCUCCGCUCCACCGGCGGCUCCGGGCUCGGGGGCACGGCCAGGAGCCGCGGCAGAGCCGGGCAGGUGAGGGCAGGGCACGGUGGGCACGGUGGGCACAGAGCUUGAUGGGCAGCCUGGCACGCAGGGCACUGAAAGGAGGGCACCGCUCCAAGCUGUCAGGACUCUCUGCCCAUCAGGCGCAUCCCCCAGGUGGGUGAAGAACUCGGGGUAACUCCAGAGAAAGAAAGGGGGAGCAUCGCUCACCCAGCCCGCGGAGCCCCCGCGGAGCCCCCGCAGCCUCCCCGCACAGCCGGACAAACAAUGUGAGACUUGGCGGAACAAAAGCGGCGGGGCUUGGGUUGCUGAACACGUCUGAGGCCAGACGAGCCGCGCGAUUUAUUGGACUCGGAGAGCCCCGGCCCGGCCCCCUCUGCCCUCGGAGAAGCCGCUGCUGGCCCAGCCCGAAGCCUGUCCUGCUGAAGAUCCUGGGAUGCCCACGACACCAGGCUGGAUGUGGGUUCACCCUCCCUGCUGCUCAUUUUCUGGCUGACAAAUUAUCUCUGGCCCUGGUGAGAGUUCAUGGGAAUAUCCUGCUCAGAUUGGCUCACUAUUACAUGAAUCAGGAGUGGGGGUUAUAUGGAAAACCCCACCCUCCAAAAGCCAUGAGGAGCUGCCAGCAGGACCUUGUCUGAGGGACCCUCAGCAGAAGGGCUGAUCCCUCCUCAUCCUCCUCGUGCUCCUCCUCUCCCUGCUCUGCUGGCCUGGAGCAUGAUGUGGAACCUGAUUUGCACCAGUGGCUGACCAGACCUGCUGACCAGCACCAGACCUCAGCAUGGGGCACAACACCAGCACAGGCACACUCAGGGUGCAGAGGACACCAGGACAUGCCCACCCUGCCCGCUGCACUGUGGGCACUCACUGGGGAAACAAACCCUUUUUGCCCACAGUUCCUGGCUGUGAGGCCCCAUGACUCCAAAGCAGCAUUCCUGGGACAUUCCUGGUGCCAUGGUAUGUGCAGAAUUUCCAACAGAGGCUCAUGGCUCCACAUCUCCUUGUGCUCUCCCUGUGGGACUCUGUUAUUUGGGAGAAGCUCCAAGAUGGAGCAGGAGAUUCAUCAUUACCAUUGGUAAUAAUUUAAUAAUUGGUAUUGGUAUUGCCCAUGGUGAUGUCUGUGCAGCUCCUACAGCCCCAGGUGGGUGUGUGCAGGUGCUGAUGAAGGAAAAGCUGUGCUCCUGUCCCUUCUCAGCAAUAUUUACCAGCUUAGCUGGAAAAACAACAAUUUGAAAAAAGUCUCAUGACCAGCCAGACCAGAGAAAAUCAAAUCCAUACUGUGUUGUCCUUGUGCUCUCCAUGGAAAUUGGGCAGCUCUUCACCACACCUGCUCCCUGGAGUUUCCCUUUAGAAGAGUUUUGUGCUUAGGGAACCUCAUGGUAACCUGGGAGAGAGCUUUGGGGUUUUGUUCCCUACAGGAAAGUCUUGGCUUGCAGACUCAGGUGCUGGGAGCAGCAUCAGGGCCAGGGAUGCAAUUGGGAAUACUCAGAUCUGCUUGAGACCACACCAGGAAUGGCAAAAUGAAUUUAACUUGCCUUUCCAUGCCUGAACCUCUUGGGUCACAUUUUCCAAGGUUUCCCUCAACCUGUAAAAGUAAGAUUAUCACUACUUUCUAAUGGAAUCUGUGAUUCCUCUCCAUGUGAACCACCUAGAAACUCAAACUCUACCAUGGUGUUUGAGGAGACUGGGGGUUGUUGGCCAUUGAGCAAAGCACAUCCAACCAGAUUUGCCCUGGAGAGAUGAGGACAAUCAGGGAAUGCUCCAUUUUAUAUCUCUUCACAGCAGCUCUGAGAAGAUCCUGUGCCUCCUUUCAUUUCCUCAGGACACCUGACUGUGCUUUUCCACCCAUCCACGGAUGUCACCUGGAUGUGUCCAUGAACCAGCUCACUCUUGGACCUUCAAAGCUGGCUCAGCAAGGUCCAAAGGGCCCUGUUCCAGCCACACCCCUGUCAGCUCCCUUUCCUUUCCAAGGAUUAGGAUGAGGCAAAUACCUCCAGUCUGCUUUAAUCCUCAGUACCUGAUUCUGCAGGAGGCACACGCAGCACACACACAUCUCAGUAAUAGCCAGGUAACUCACAGGGCUAAAUCACUCUGGGUUUUUUUUUUCAUUAUAACCUCCCUUUAAAGCACAUUUAAAUGCUUCCCUGCAGGCUCAUGUGAGGGCUGUUAAGGGCUUCAUUUGAAUAAAUAAGGGCACAGGUAGAGGAGGAACAUCACCACAGCCCCUGGAAACCCAGCGCCAGCCAUGGCAGCAGUGGGCUGGUGAGUGGCAAAGGGCCUCCAUGUUAUAUAUUCCAUAAAGUAGAGUAAUUAAGUAUUACUAGUUUUGAUGACUUCAAACAGAGUGACUCCAGGAAAUAAGCCCCUUCUUUAUAAUUAGUGGGAUUUCCUCUGCAUCAAACGGAGAGAUUGAUUCUUUAAUCUGCUCACAUGCUUUUGAUUUGGUCUUUCAGCUGCUUGUACCAACUGCUUCUACUCCCUGCUCUUGCCGAUAAAACCUUGCAAAGGAGAUUUUAGGAAGGCAUGACCUGAGUUGAGGUCCAGGAUUUUCUUUGUGUGUGGCUGUUUUGUGAAUUCCUAAUUUGCCAGAAAUGAUGAUCGUGAUGAUAACAAGAAUAAAAAAAUAACACAGACGUGGCUUUUAAACAUC